UACGUAGGUGGCAAGCGUUGUCCGGAUUGACUGGGCGUAAAGCGCACGCAGGCGGAUGCGCGCGUGGGGUGUGAAAUCUGGCCGCUUAACGGCCAGGCGCCAUCCCAUACGGCGCGUCUGGAGCUAUGCAGAGGUCGGUGGAAUUGCCGGUGUAGUGGUGAAAUGCGUAGAGAUCGGCAGGAACGACCCAGGGGGAAACCAGCCGACUGGGCAUAUGCUGACGCUGAGGUGCGAGAGCGUGGGGAGCGAACCGG
rnacentral:rRNA from 1 species